GAAGUCAGCCAGAUCGCCGCUGGUGCAAGGCCCGAAAGGGCGCACUGGAGGAAGGUCCGGACUGCGCAGGGCAGCGUAGGAGGUAACACCUCUCCACCGCGAGGUGAGGAUCAGAGCAACAGAGACGAGUCUCUGGGCCUUGACGAGGCGAAAGCCUCGGCAAAGGCCAUUCGAAAGAAUGGCUGGGCCCAGAGGGUGAAACGGGCAAUCUCUACGCGCAGCAACACCAAAUAGGCACACGUUGACCUGGCCCGGGGAGUGUGCGGGUAGGUGGCAUCGAGCCGCACUGGCGACAGGCGGCCCAGAGGAAUGGCGGUCACGGCCCACAACGCAAGGCGUGGGCUGCACAGAAUCCGGCCUAUCGGCUGACUUCACAU
rnacentral:RNase_P_RNA from 1 species